CAUAAUGUAUUAUAGCAAUCCCUUAAAAAAUAAUAAAAUAUUAUUUUAUUAUUUAUAAUCCUAAUAUUAUCCAUUUUAAUCUUUUUUUCUCUCACACAACCCCUUAUUUUAUCCUCACCAUUGCUCGUCAAUGUCACACAUUGUCCCCUUAUUUUAUUCUCACCAUCAUUGCUCAUGAAUGUGGCACAUUAUCCCCUUAUUUUAUCCUCAUUAUGCGAAGAAAAAAAA
rnacentral:lncRNA from 1 species